UACAGGCAAAUACAGAAGAUGGUCACAUCAUAAUGAAUAAUCUUUUCAAGGUUAAUAUUGGCAUUUUGAGUAGUAAAAUACUACUGUCCUCUUUUCAUUGCCAUAAUAAAGUUCCAUCCUACACAAUUACAGAAACUGCAAGAGUCAGAAGGCACAGGCUUUGUUUACCAGAACAAAGAUCCAGGAACAACUCUUAGUGACUGGCGUGAUGGAGGAUCAAAGGAAGGGUGUUGUUCUGAGGCAGGAUGUCAAAAUUAUUCACAUGGAGAGCCAUUAAUGCAGGAUGAAGGAGAUUUAUCUGGUGAGGAACCUGAGGCUAGAGGAAAAAGCAAAAGAGGAAUAGGUCAUAGUUUUACUACACAUGCAGCCAAUGUAAAUUCAACAAUUGAGGAUGACCAAACGGCUCUUCACGCUGCUGUUCGCAAAGGGCACAU
rnacentral:misc_RNA from 1 species